UACGUAGGGUGCGAGCGUUAAUCGGAAUUACUGGGCGUAAAGCGUGCGCAGGCGGUGAUGUAAGACAGAUGUGAAAUCCCCGGGCUCAACCUGGGAACUGCAUUUGUGACUGCAUCGCUGGAGUGCGGCAGAGGGGGAUGGAAUUCCGCGUGUAGCAGUGAAAUGCGUAGAUAUUCGGAGGAACACCGAUGGCGAAGGCAAUCCCCUGGGCCUGCACUGACGCUCAUGCACGAAAGCGUGGGGAGCAAACAGG
rnacentral:rRNA from 1 species